CAGUCGCCGCGGUAAUACGAAGGGUGCAAGCGUUGUUCGGAAUUACUGGGCGUAAAGCGUACGUAGGCGGUUUUGUAAGUUAGAGGUGAAAGCCCGGAGCUCAACUCCGGAAUUGCCUUUAAGACUGCAUCACUUGAACGUCGGAGAGGUGAGUGGAAUUCCGAGUGUAGAGGUGAAAUUCGUAGAUAUUCGGAAGAACACCAGCGGCGAAGGCGGCUCACUGGACGACUGUUGACGCUGAGGUGCGAAAGCGUGGGGAGCAAACAGGAUUAGAUACCCGCGUAGUCCCUGUCUCUUAUAC
rnacentral:rRNA from 1 species